rnacentral:misc_RNA from 1 species
UAACUUAAUAAUCUUAAAGCAACUUUAAUUGAAUCGAUGAAAGAAUUUUAUGACAACAAUAAUCUCAGUAUCACAUUAGUAAUUUCAUGCUUUGUACAAGAAUUUAAGAGACCCAAUAACAUAAUUAAGAAUCAAUAGUUAACGAUGGUCUCGAAACAGUUGAGACCAUCAAGCUCCAGUGCAAACCUUGGUGCCUUGCAUGGUGGUUGUUCCGAUCUUUUGUCGGCUGUCGAUGGUGAAGAUGAGCUUUGCUCCGAUUUCUUGAUUAAAUUAUGCAUAGUUACAGAAGCAAAAGAGAACCUGAUAGUUUGACCUAAGAAUUCAGCACAAAAUGCAUCGAAGGAGCUAAAGAUGGA